rnacentral:rRNA from 1 species
UUGAACGCUGGCGGCAUGCUUUACACAUGCAAGUCGAACGGUAACAGGGAGCUUGCUCCGCUGACGAGUGGCGAACGGGUGAGUAAUGCAUCGGAACGUACCCAGUCGUGGGGGAUAACGUAGCGAAAGUUACGCUAAUACCGCAUACGUCCUGAGGGAGAAAGCGGGGGACCGUAAGGCCUCGCGCGAUUGGAGCGGCCGAUGUCGGAUUAGCUAGUUGGUGGGGUAAAGGCCUACCAAGGCGACGAUCCGUAGCGGGUCUGAGAGGAUGAUCCGCCACACUGGGACUGAGACACGGCCCAGACUCCUACGGGAGGCAGCAGUGGGGAAUUUUGGACAAUGGGGGCAACCCUGAUCCAGCCAUGCCGCGUGAGUGAAGAAGGCCUUCGGGUUGUAAAGCUCUUUUGUCCGGAGCGAAACGGUUACGGUGAAUAUCCGUGACUACUGACGGUACCGGAAGAAUAAGCACCGGCUAACUACGU